rnacentral:rRNA from 1 species
CCUACGGGGGGCAGCAGUGGGGGAUAUUGCACAAUGGGGGGAACCCUGAUGCAGCGACGCCGCGUGGGUGAAGGAGUGCUUCGGCAUGUAAAGCCCUAUCGGCAGGGAAGAAGCAAGACGGUACCUGACUAAGAAGCCCCGGCUAACUAGGUGCCAGCAGCCGCGGUAAUACGUAGGGGGCGAGCGGUAUCCGGAUUCACUGGGUGUAAAGGGAGCGUAGACGGCCAAGCAAGCCAGUGGUGAAAGCCCGGGGCCCAACCCCGGGACUGCUUUGGAAACUGGGGAGCUAGAGUGCUGGAGAGGUAAGUGGAAUUCCUAGUGUAGCGGUGAAAUGCGUAGAUAUUAGGAGGAACACCAGUGGCGAAGGCGGCUUACUGGACAGUAACUGACGUUGAGGCUCGAAAGCGUGGGGAGCAAACAGGAUUAGAUACCCGAGUAGUC